GCGAGGUCGCGGCGAAGCUGAGGUGAGGUGGUUCUCGGCGGCCGGGCUCUCUGGACGCAGCUGGCGUGCGGCCCUAGCAGAGAAACGCCCCGGGGCGUUAGCCGUCAGGUAAAGGAGGCGGCGGCGUCACAGGCGCCGCUGCAGCGCGGGACAGCCCCGUCACGCAGGCGCCUCUGCCUCGCCGCCAUUGCGGCCCGGGGCUCUCGGGCCUCUGCUCGGCCGCCUCUGCAGAGACAGGGACUCCUCGCCAUCUUUAUCUUUUGGCCUCAGAAUUCAUAAUUAAAGCUCUAACUGCCGUGAAUCUGUUCCUCCUCUGAGUGCAGCAAAUCUUGAAAUAAUGUCUUUGUGACUCUAACAUGAAAUUUUUCAUACUUGGCUAACUGCUGGGGAAAUAUUACCAGAUUGACUUUCUUUCUUACAAAAUGUUAGCACCAAGCAAGAGGAUGACCAAUUCUUCACGUUCCCAGUUUUUGAUGUGGAAGUCAGACAAAGCUCAGACUGGACUCCACAAUAUUGAGAGGGAAAUCCUGGCUUCAAGACUCUUGCGUGAUACUGAGACCUGUCGACAGAAUUUUAGGAAUUUUCUGUACCCAAAUCUGGCUGGUCCUCGAAAGGCAUUGAAUCAACUCCGAGAGCUCUGCCUUAAGUGGCUAAGACCUGAGAUUCACUCAAAGGAACAGAUCCUGGAAAUGCUAUUACUGGAGCAAUUCCUGACCAUCCUACCUGGGGAGGUUAGGACUUGGGUGAAGUCCCAGUACCCAGGGAGCAGCGAGGAAGUUAUAACUCUGGUGGAGGAUUUGACUCAGAUCCUAGAAGAGGAAGCUCCUCCUCAAAACUCUCUUCUUUCUCAAGAGACAACAGAGGAAGAUACUAAAAGAAGACUUACGUGCCAAACUGGUUGGCUAAAUGACAUGACCAAAGAAUCAAUGACAUUCAAAGAUGUGGCUGUGGAUAUCACCCAAGAGGACUGGGAGUUAAUGCGCCCCAUACAGAAAGAAUUAUACAAGACUGUAACAUUACAGAACUAUUGGAACAUGGUUUCUCUGGGACUUACAGUAUACAGACCAACUGUAAUUCCCAUGUUGGAAGAACCAUGGAUGGUGUUAAAAGAAAUUUUAGAAGGACCUAAUCCAGAAUGGAAAACAGAAAACCAAGAAAGUACUCUAGUGGAGAAUAUUUCUAAACACAUGAGAGAAGGAACCCAGGCUAUCAAAUUGGAAAAACCGUAUGACUAUGGUGACAGGUUAGAGAGGCAAGCAGCCGAUACUUACAGCAAAAUUACCACCAAUGAAAGAUAUUUGAAUUUUAAGUCUGACCAUUCACAAGAAGAUGAUCCAACAGAAGAGUAUUUUAGUAAAUAUAGUAUAUAUAGAAAUAAUUUUGAAAAGCAUUCAGACCUACUUGUACAGUUUGGUGCCCUAUCAAAUAAUAAAAUUUCUGUGUAUGAUGAAGUUAGGGCAACCUUCAAUCAUGUCGCUUAUGGUAUUGUACAUAGAAAAAUACUUCCUGGAGAGAAGCCUUAUAAAUGUAAUAUUUGUGGGAAAAAAUUUAGGAGAUACCCAUCUCUAAUGAAACACCAAAGUACCCAUGCCAAAGAAAAAUCUUACGAAUGUGAAGAGUGUGGAAAAGAAUUUAGGCACAUAUCAUCCCUUAUUGCACAUCAGAGAAUGCAUACUGGAGAAAAACCAUAUGAAUGUCACCAGUGUGGUAAAGCCUUCAGCCAGCGUGCACAUCUAACUAUACAUCAGAGAAUUCAUACAGGAGAGAAACCCUAUAAGUGUGAUGACUGCGGGAAAGACUUCAGUCAGCGUGCACACCUCACUAUACAUCAAAGGACACAUACUGGGGAGAAACCAUAUAAGUGCUUGGAAUGCGGUAAAACUUUCAGCCACAGUUCAUCACUGAUUAAUCAUCAGAGAGUUCAUACUGGAGAAAAACCUUAUAUAUGCAAUGAAUGUGGGAAAACUUUCAGUCAAAGUACACACCUUCUUCAACAUCAAAAAAUACAUACUGGAAAGAAACCAUAUAAAUGCAAUGAGUGCUGGAAAGUGUUUAGUCAAAGUACUUACCUUAUUCGACAUCAAAGAAUUCAUUCUGGAGAGAAGUGUUAUAAGUGCAAUGAAUGUGGAAAAGCCUUUGCUCAUUCCUCAACUCUUAUUCAGCAUCAGACAACUCACACUGGAGAGAAAUCCUACAUAUGUAAUAUAUGUGGGAAAGCCUUCAGCCAGAGUGCAAACCUUACUCAGCAUCAUAGAACACACACUGGAGAGAAACCAUAUAAGUGCAGUGUCUGUGGGAAAGCCUUCAGUCAGAGUGUACACCUUACUCAACAUCAGAGAAUUCAUAAUGGAGAAAAGCCCUUUAAAUGCAAUAUAUGUGGGAAAGCAUAUAGACAGGGUGCAAAUCUUACUCAGCAUCAAAGGAUUCAUACGGGAGAGAAACCCUACAAAUGUAAUGAAUGUGGGAAAGCUUUUAUUUAUUCCUCAUCACUUAAUCAACAUCAGAGAACUCAUACUGGAGAAAGGCCCUAUAAAUGUAAUGAAUGUGAUAAAGAUUUUAGCCAGAGAACAUGCCUUAUUCAACACCAGAGAAUUCACACAGGAGAGAAACCCUAUGCAUGCCGUAUAUGUGGUAAAAGUUUCACCCAGAGUACAAACCUUAUUCAGCAUCAGCGUGUUCAUACAGGUGCCAAAAACCGUAAUUAACCUAUAUGGAGAUUUUUGUUUAGAUCUUUAAAAUUAAUUAUUUAAAUCUUAUUUUGUACUCAAAACAUUUAAGAAAAACCUGAAGUGCAAUAUGUAUUAGAUGGCACUCGGCAGAAGUAUCAGAAUUAGUAAUGUCAAUAUAGCCUUUUAAGUUUAAUGUGUUAAGAAGAGAAGUUCAUUCACUUCUUAAUUCUAUAUCAAUUUGCUCUAUUCUAGAAAGAAACCUUAUGAAGGGGUUAUUUCUGACUCUGCACUCAAGAAUUACACCCUGGCAGUGCUCAGGAGACCAUAUGGGAUGCUGGUAAUCAAACCUAGGUCAGCUGCAUGCAAGGCAAACAUCCUACCCACUGUGCUAUUUCGCCAGCCCCUUUUCUCACAAUUUUUAGACAGGUUUCUGAUUAUGAAUCCUGGGGGUUUCUUGAAAAUCUAAGUACUAGGUUUUUGGGAAUUGCAGCUAAUAUUUCAUUUUAUCCUUAAAACUUUAAGACUCUUCAUCCCUCAAUAUCUUCAUCCUUCGGUUAUAACCUCUGAUAGUAGUUUACUUGCAUAUGCUUGUAUAUGAUCUCUUCUUUUUCAGUUAUUCUCAUGACUAUAAUUACCCCUUUGCACACUAUAGCCAUGUAGUGCAAAUAUGUGCACUAUGGUGGUAUGUAUAAAUAUGUGUGUAAAUUUGUAAGCAACAAAGUCCUCUAUAUAGAUGGAAAGACAGACCCAUGAUGCUAAAGUAUCUUGCCUGAGGUCUCAUAGACUAAGAAUUGGACCCCUGGCUUCAACAGUUACUUAGUUCUUCCUGUAAUGUUAAGUGAAAAUUCAGAGUACACAUUAUGUACCUACAAAUUUAUAAAAUUAUUUCCAGGAGAAUAGAGCAUUUAAAAUGCUUUUUUAUUCCCUCAUGUUUAGUCUUCAAAUUCAAAUCUGUAGAUGAAAAUAGCCCCACAGAGGGUACCCUCUUCAGUCUCUGUCCCCCAUCUUUAUAUCUCCCAAGUUUCAGACCCAUCUAGUCAGAGACCCUUUGUUAUCUGGAAAAGGGAUGCAGAGCUUGGGGACCCUCUCUAUCUGGGUUCACCUUCCUGAAAGAAAUAAUUCAGUCAAGAGACUCAGUUAUAGAAAGAAAAUUCAUUUGUUGCCAGUAAAACUUUUCUCUAGCUCAGGGUACAGAGCAGGUGUCCCAAAGAGAAAUGGAUGUCCUGAGAAUAUUUGAGGACCUGUCAUAUUCCAACUUUCUGCCUGUGUUUAACGAUCUUAGUCCCUCCUUUGACUCAACAUGCUCCACUCUAGGGGAGUUUUCUUCCAACUUUGACCUCUGCAAUCUGGUAAAUGGGCUAUCCGGCAUGCUCCUUGAUGAUAAUGAGAUAAGCCAACUCCAAAUAGCAGUCAACUAUAAUCUUUGCAGAGUCCCAAAUCUGUGGCCAUAGUGAGAUGCUAGGCUAAGUAUUUCUUUUGCACCAGGUUGUUUUGACUGUACUAGUCUUUUAAGUUAGAAGCACACAAGAUGUUUUGUUUUAGUGUUUUUUAACCCAGAUCAGGUGCAGCACUAAGUCAUUUCCUAUCUUAAUUUUUAUUGCAAAAGCUCAUUUUUACAUUUUGAGGUGUAUUUUAUCAAGUUUUUUUUUAUCUUACAGAUGAGAAAACUGAGGCACAGAGCUAUAGAUCUUGGCAGAAACCAGAGCUCAUGGUGGCAGGAUAAUCUCUAAGCAGAACAACCAUGGAGCAUGAGCAGGCAGCUUUGGAAAUUCUCCAACACAACUGUUCUGCCUCUGCGCUUAGGACUACCCCGCCAGUUCAGCUUCCUAAGAGCCACGUGCCAGAUGAAGCUGUGGAGCUCCUGGCCACAGGCUACCAUCAUUUGUGAUUAGCUCUCUAUGUGGGGGAGGUUGGGAAGAACUUUGAAGGCCAAUAGAUAAAUAAAGCAGCGUGCAUCCCAGAGGAACAGGAGAGCAAUGAGAGUGAAACAUUUUGCUUCUCUAUGUUCUCCAGGAUUAACUAAAUCAGACAUCUCAGUACCUGGGGCAGCCAGUCUGCUGAGUGAGAUAAUGUUCAGACUUCAUGCCUCUAACCACAGUAUUACAGUUUUUUUUUAUUUCUAACCCAAAGCUCUUGGACUUUUUGUUUGUUUUCCUUGCAGGGAGGUAAAGAGAAGGAGCAAGAGAAAAUGACAUCAAUUUGAGUUUUUUCUCUAGUGCAUAUAAAAAAGAACAGGAGCAAGAGGCCAAGCUUACAAAGACACGAGGGUUCUAAAGAAGGUGCAAGCUAUCUGUAUUAUUGUAAAUGAGUGCUGAAGAGAGGGCUGCAGGGAUGCAUCCUGAGUGAAGGAGCACUCAAAUUAGCAGAGGAAAGGCUUAAUCUGAGAAAGAGCACCAUGCUAGUAAAUGACUGUCAGGCAUGCACCUUGAUGAAAAUCAGAUGAGCCAAUAAUCAGAAGGAAACAAAUGCACAUGAGAUGCUUUUGUGUCCCUUUUAUAAUUUUCCUCUCACAGUUCUGUUUGUUAAGAAGUUGGUGUUCGGCAAUUAUAUUGUAGAUAUUAAUAUGAGGUCAUGAAACCAAAAGAUAGGAAUGAAAAGGGAAAGCAAUACAUUACAGAAAACUAAGCUUGUGGGAGUCAUUAACUUUAUAGAGAAUUGUAAGUAAGCAUUCCCUUUGUCUCUGUGUCAGGGAUACACAAGGCCCAUGGAAUAGCCUUCCUUUGUUGGUCUGUGUGCCAUUUCCAGCUGUGCUUAGGGUUUACUCUUGGCUCUGCUUUCAGGGAUCACUCCUGGUGAGCUUGGAGGACCAUAUGGGAUACCAAAGAUAGAACCUGGGUCAGCUAUGUGCAAGGCAAGCACUCUAUUCAGUGCUGUCUCUUAAGCCCCUAUAUCUUUUCUAGAGUACAAAAUCCCAUAAAGUUUGGAACUCUUCCACUAAGAACCUGGUUGCUACAGUGGAGCAAUCGUACAGCAGGCAGGGCACUUCUUACAUGUAGCUGAUCCAAGUUUGAUCCCGUCAUCCCAUGUGGUCAUGAUCCCCUGAGCCUGCCACGAGUUAUUCCUGUGCACGGAACCAGGAGUAAGCACAACUGGGUGUGCCCCCCAAAAAUACAAAAAAAUAAAAAUAAAAGAACUGUGUGCCAUUCUGGCAUCUGGGAUAAAGCAGAUAGGAGACAAAGUUGCCUGUUAAAAGUCUACAACUUAAUUGAAAAAAAAAAAACUCACUGAUUUAAAACUACUGUGGGAGCUGGAGAGAGGCAAGAAAGCAUUCCCUGCAUUGCCCCCUAACGCUCACCAAGACUAAUGGCCCCAGUGACAAUGCCAGCCAAGCACCUAAUUGAAGGGUCAGCAUCAUGCAGCUGAGAAUUGCUAGAGGGGUGUUCACCUUGCCUGCUCCCUUACCCAAAAAACCCUAUAGUACAAUAGUCAUUCUGAGCAUCGUGCUUUACACUGGUUGAAAGACCUCCUGAUUCAUGAAUUUCAAAUUUUGGUGUCAGCACCCAUUUUAGUAUAGUUUCUUUUCUGUUCAAUAGCAAGGUUGUGAACCAUAAAAAAAAAUGCCACAAUAUCUGAAAUAUUUACCAUUCCUUUACAGACCGUUAGCCAACUCUGUCAAUGCAGAGCUGGGGGAGGUUUAGGUCUGUUAGCUAACAUGUCCAGCAUGCGGGCUGUUGGAAGAGAGCACUGUAGCACGCAGGCAUGUGUGGGGAAGGGUGCCCGCUGCGGUCCACAAGGAAGUGGCCUUCAGUGGUGCCAGGCAGUCCCGGACGAGCAAUGCCGCCCUCUGCCGACCUUCCUUGCCCGGGUUUGCGACAUUUGUUCUGGGCGCGUUUGGCAGUGCUUCCCUUGUGGUGUGGUUCCUGCGUUCUUCAAUUCCUUAGGCUCUUGCGAUAAAAAAAAAAAAAACCGGCUUCCUUGGCACUCUGUUCCCCACUCUUUGUCGCCUCAUCCUAAAAGUUGGUCGUUCCCCCAAGCAAGAGCGUCGGGAGGGCCGUUUCUUCCUAGUAAGCCCUCUCUUCACUUCAGGGUGACACGCUAUUCCGCGUGGACAGCCGUCACGGUGAGACCCUGUUACACCCACUCCACGCGGACAGCCCACCGCGCCUCCAGGAAGCUGCAAGUCCACCCUCCCCCACGACCACCAUCACACACACGCACACACACACACUCGCGCGCGCACAUGCUCACAUACACACGCAUAUGCACGCGCACACGCACGCACACGCGUACACAUAAGCGCGCACACGCGUACACCCACGCACACACGUACACUCGCACCACUUGCAAGCCUCUGGCUGGGCCCAGCUGAGCGGGAAGAACACUCCGCAGUGUGGCGCAGCCAGCCAGCAGCCUCGGAGACAAGAGUGCCAGCCUGUCCCGGACAGGCCGUGAGGGCGUCCCCUUCCCUCCGCCACCCCUGUCCUGCCUCCCCCAGAUUCCCCAGAAUUCUCCCCAGGAGUGCCCCGCGGGAGCAGAGAGCUGGGGUGAAAGGGAGGUAUGCCCUGAGCCCGAGGUGCCUGUCUAGCGGAGCUGCUUUAGGGGGAUGUAGCUUUGCCAGCAGAGGGACGUGCAGACCUCAAGUUCAACAAAUUUUAGUAAGCACAUUGGCCUCCAUCGUAGCGGCCAAUAUUAAAAGCCUGUAACGAUUGUUUAAUGACCAGCUUUGUAAACCAUGGUGCUCAAAUGAAGUAUUUUGAUUUCAAAAAAAGAAAAAAAAUAGUAUAGAAAUAUCAAAUGCCCAAAGGCAAUAGAAAUGAGGUGCAGGAGAACUAACUGAUCUUCAGUAGGAAAGAUCACUUGGUCAUGUCUUGGGGAAAUAAGUUAGGAAAAGGAACACUAGAACAAUCACAGAGAGGGAAAGUGCCCCCCAGAGACACAGGCUGAGAGUGGGAGGGGAAACUUGGGACCUUGGUGGAGAGCAGUGAACUCUGGUGAAGGGUGUUGAAACAUUGUACACCUGAAAAUCACAAAUAUCUUUGUAACUACAUAAUUCAUGGUGAUUCAAUCAAAAUUAGUUAAUUUUUGGAGUUGGAGCAAUAGUACAGCAGGUAAGGCACACCUUACACACGGUCAACCCAAGUUCAAUUCCCGGCAUAUCAUAUGGUCCCCCAAGCACCACCAAGAGUAAUUCCUGAGUGCAGAGCCAGGAGUAACCCCACCCCUGAGCAUUACUGGGUGUGACCCAAAAAAGCAAAAAUCAGUAACAAUAAUAAUUUUUUUAAAAGAUUAAUGGUUCUUUUUCUCUCUCUUCCUUUAGUGUUGUUACUAUUGUCAUUGCUGUGAUGUCAAGAGCCACCCAUUUGUGACCACAGCCACAUCACAAUGGGGAUCACAACAGUAGUGCUAAGUAUAACAGGACAUGGGCAGUGCUGAGGAUCAAACUUAGACUCAUUAAUGCAAUGCAGACACUAUCAUUUAACUUUUUUUAGAUUUUUAGAUUUAAUUUUUAAUAUUUUUCUAUUUUAUUGAAGCACCAUGAGAGCAUUACAAAGUUGUUCAUGAUUGAGUUUCAGUCAUACAAUGUUCCAACACCCAUCCUUCCACCAGUGUAAUUUUUCAGUACCAGUGUCCUCAGUUUUCCCCCUCUCACCUCCCCAAACCAUCCCUCAGCCCAGCCUGCCUUUAUGGCCGGCACCUAAAUUCUCUCUUUCUUUCUCUCCCUCAUUUUAGGCAUUAUGGUUUGCAAUACAGAUGCUUAUUGCAAAAAAAUAAAGGUUAUCAGGUAUUGUUGGAUGUUAACCCUAAGUGUUUUAGGCUUCAUCAGUGAAUUGCCCCUUUUCCUCCUCCCAGAGAAGCUUACUGUGCUUUUGCUAGCAUCCCAAACUCAAAGUUUAACUUUAACUUUUCCUUUGUGUUUUACCUCUCUUUGUUUUAGGUCCCCAAGUCAGUCUUGAUUAUUUAUAAGCCAGAACUUUCUGGUAAUUCUGUCCUUCAUAUUUCAAGUGCUGUGUAUUUGUACCUGCUUUUCUAUUUCCCUAUAGUCUUUUAAUAUUUUACUAUAGAGCAAUGUUUUUUGAUUAAACAUAGAUAUUGGUGCCCAACCAGACUGUGAGGAUGAGCCUAUGGAGACCGACCCGCAGGCAGGUAGAAACACAUCCCAUAAUAAUGGGUGAGCCAUAACUCGUGUGUCCAGACUGAUCUAGACAGGGUUGACAUCUCUUCCUUUGGCUGCCUUUUAGCUCUUAGUAUUACAUAGAUGCAAUCUUCCCUUUUUCACAGAUCCCUAACCCAGCUCAGCUUUGGAAUACAGUCUCUCACAUCCCCUUAUCACUCCAAGUGCAAGGGACUGUAGCUCAUGGUGCCAGACUGCUUUGCUUGGCCUUGGAUUCCUCUCUGGAAGCUGCGACCUUUGGGCUUACAGAUGUGAUAAGACAAUGUGGCCUUGAUGUCUUGAUGUCCCUCCUGUAACCCCUAUUUCCUGUUAAUGAUUCCUUUGUACUGAGUUCAUUAGAUGCAUGUAUGUAGGAUAGUGAAUAAAAGAGGCCGUUGGACACUUCUUCACCACUGCCAUGCCAGAGCAAGCUAGCAGCCCUCCAGCCAUUCUUCUCGUGGUUCUAUCUCUGUGCCCCCGAUGGAAAGAAUAUUCACACAACACACAGAAAGACCAUUAAUGCUAUGCUCCAAAUAUUUGGGAGUUGAUUGACUCUGAAAUGUAUCUACUCCUGGGCUUUGGUCAUGAUCACUUGACUCAGGCUUCAGUUGCUGUAGUUCCUAAGACCCCAAGAGGAAGGUCCCACCAUGGGACUGGGAUGGACCCGGGGCAAGUGGCGAAGCUACCCCAGCAUCAAAAUGGGACAGUCUAGAAAACAUAAAUGCAUGUUUUGAUGUAAGCUGUUAUGACUUAAGAGACAGGACCCCCAUGGGAAGGCCAAGCUGAACUGGCCUGAGGACCUAGUCUGGUAUUUACAGUAAAAGACUUGCUUGCUCUCAGAGCCCAGAGAACUAAGUUUGGGGAUCUUUAUCUCUUACUGUGUUUAUCUAAAUAACUGCAGGUAUUGAUAAGAAGUAAACUUAAUUGGUUAACAUAUACAACUAGAGGAGCUGGAGCGAUAGCAUAGCAGUAGGGCGUUCGCCGUACAUGUGGCCCACCCGGGUUCAAUUCCUCCACCCCUCUCGGAGAGCCCAGCAAACUACCGAAAGUAUCUCGCCCCCCCGGCAGGGUCUGGCAAGCUACCUGUGGCGUAUUCGAUAUGCCAAAAACAGUAACAACAAGUCUCAAAAUGGAGAUGUUUCUGGUGCCCGCUCGAGCAAAUCGAUGAGCAAUGGGAUGACAGUGAUACAGCGUACAACUAGAAGGAAAGACAAAAGCAUUGUAGAUGUCCCUGGGAGACAGUUCUCCUUGAGUUAAUCUCCCCAAGAGAAUUGCCUCUGCUAAAUGUUUUAUCUCUGUAAAUGAUCAGUCACAUCUAUGUCCUAUACCUCAAACCCCCUCAGAUGUUCUAUAAGUAUGCUAGCAGCUCUGCAUUAAAUGGGCCAUUUUCACCAUCAGGCUGUGGUCUCCCAUCUCUCUGUCUCUCUACUGGGGAGGCCUGGGGAGGACAGGAGGUGGCUCUUGACCACCGAACACAUGAGUUGUGCAGCACUCACAAACUUUGUGAACUCAUAGCAACCGAAGUCUGAGUCGAGUAAUUAUGACAGAUGCUAAGGAGAGGAGUAGAUCUAUUUCAGAGUUACUCAACUCCCAAACAUUAGGAGCACAGUAUUAAUGGUCUUUCUGUGUUUAAGCAAAGAACAUUGCUCUAUAGUAAAAUAUGAAAAGGAUACAGGGAAAAUAGAAAAGCAGGUAAUUUCUACAAAUACAAAGUCCAAAGUUACCAGUAAGUUUUGGCUUAUACGUAACCAAGACUGACAAUGAGAGGUAAAACACAAAGGAAGGUUAAAGAUAAAUUCCAGGGAUAAGGGGCAUUUGCAAGAGCAUUGUAAGCUUCUCUGGGAGGAGUAAAAAGGACAAUUCACUGAUGAAGCCUAUAAAACUUAGGGUUACUCUCCAACAGUGCACGAUUCUGUUUUUGUCCAGGCCUGGCCUUUGUAGCCCUUUGGGGGCCCUCAAGAUUUUUUGCUCCACCGAUAUAUGACUUUGCAAUGGGUAACACUGCUCCCUAACCCAGCCUGAUCAUGUUGGUGCUGUCUGAGUGGCCCAUCUUUAAGGUUCUGGAUGAAAAGAAACUUCAAGAGAUUGAUAGUUUGUGCAAAUAAUUUGGAAGUUCAGAGAAAUAAGUAAAAUAGCAAAGCUAAAACAUUUUUUUAAUUUUUUUUUCAAAGCUAAAACAUUUUAAGAAAUUUCAGGAUAUAGCAGAAGCAUGAGUAGGGAAAGUUGUAUCCACUAUCCUGUUAUGAUGAACUUAAGAGGAAUCUGUUCACAGAUGGAUUAACUCCUGGGUUAGGAAUGGCAGCUGCAUUCCUUGGAUUGGCAAUUUACUCCAAUAUAGAUUUGAAAUUUAGCAUGAAUAAUGUGAACCCAGUGUGCAGGCAAUUUCCUUGUUGGGUGAUUUAGAUUGAUAAUUAAACAACUUAGCGCAUAGAGAUAGUACAGGAGAUAGAGAUCUUACCUUGCAUGUGACCCACACAGGUUCAAUACCCAGCAUCACAUAUGGUCCCCUAAGCCCUCCAGGAGUGAUCCCUGAGUGCAAAGUCAGGAAUAAGUCCUGAGUAUCACUGGGUGUGGUCCAAAAACAAAACAACAACAAAAAAUAAAUAACUAUAUUAUGUAUUGUAAAGAAUGGUUUAUAAAUUCUGAGGUGUCCCAUCUGGGGUACCAGUUAUCUAAGUCACCAUGUCAUGAUAACGAGGGUGUGUCUCUUGAUGUGUUUGGGGCUGACGACCAUUCCCCCAACUGAUGGAUGAAAAAAACAGAUCUGAAGGCUGGUAAAUAGUGGGACUUUAUUAAAAUCUAUCUGCAUUAUUAUAGAGAAAUCAUGAAAGGUUGGGGAAGAGGGGGGGAAGCAAUUACACAUAGGUGUGGUUGAACAUUAAUAUAAACAAUGAACAGAUGUAAAUCUCCUCCUUCAGGAGGAGAUAUAGCCAAGGAUGGAAUUUCAUCUAAGGGCUCCAGCACUCUAGAUUCUUCUUAGGAGAUCGGCCCAAGAGUGGAAUUCCAUCUAAGGGCAUAUUGGUUUCCUUUCCUUUCCUUUCCUUUACUGGUAAAAUCCAUUUAAACAAUCAUUAAAUUUACUUAUUAAAUAUUUCUAGUCAUUUUGCAUAAGUAGUAAGAGAUAUAUACUUUAAUCUAUACCCUAGAUUAGUCUCAAAUGGUCUCUCUGGAAUAAUGGUAAAGAGUAGCAUUUCCUGGGGAUAUAUCGCUAUAUUUCCUAGCGUACAGUCCAGGUUAGUUUUUCUUAACCCCAAUAGGGAACUUAUUCAGUUACUUCUUUUUGGGUCAUGUCAGAGUUUAUUCCAUGACUGUACUCUUUUGUUUUUUUGAAUCGCCAUGAGAUAGAGUUACAAAAUUUUCAUGUUUGAAGUUCAGUCAUACAAUGAUCAAACACCAUCCCUCCAUCAGUGCACAUUUUCCACUACCAUAACUGUACCUUUUUUUAAAAAAAAUUAUUUUUUAAUGAAUCACCAUGAGGUACAGUUACAGACUUACAAAUUUUCAUGCUUACAUUUCAGUCAUACAAUGAUCGAGUGCCGAGUGCCCAUCCCUACAUCAGUGCCCAUCUCCACCACCAAUGUUCCCAGUAUCCCUCCCAUCCCCCCAUUCCACCUGCCCUCCCCCACUCCACCUCUGUGAUAGGCACAUUCCUUUUUACUUUCUCUCUCCUUUAGGGUGUUGUGGUCUGCAAUGCAAGUAUUGAAUGACCAUCAUGUUCGUCUAUAGCCUACUUUAGGCACUCAUCUCCCAUCCCGAGCAGGCCCUCUAAACACUCUUUACUUGGUGGUCCCUUCUCUAUCUGAGCUGCCUUUUCCCCCAGCAUGUGAGGCUGGCUUCCAAAAAGUGAAGCAAACCUCCUAGUACUUAUCUCUACUUGGUUCUUAGUAUCUCAUUCUGUUACUUUAUAUUCCACAAAUGAGUGCAAUCUUUCUAUGUCUGUCCCUCUCUUUCUGACUCAUUUCACUCAACAUGAUACUUUCCAUGUUGAUCCACUUAUGUGCAAAGUUCAUGACUUCAUCUUUUCUAACAACUUCAUAGUAUUCCUUUGUGUAGCUGUACCAGUUUCUUUAACUAGUCAUCUGGUUUUGGGCACUCAGGUUUUUUCCAGAUUCUGGCUAUUGUAAACACAUGACUGUACUCUUAACUAACUGUACUUCUUAUGGUGCUUAGGCUGUCCCACAUUGAAGUGAGGGUAGCUUACAGUUUGCCCUGGGUCCAUCCAAUCCCUCUGUGGGACCCACCUUUUGAGGUGUAAGGAACUAAGGUCAAUCUAAAAGCAAUUAAGGCUUUAGUCAAGUAAAUAUGAUGGAUUCCCAGAGUCUGUUAAUAUUAUGCUUUUAUAAUUGACUCAACUACAAAAGCAUAACAUUAACUGUAUUCCUGUGUCUAUACAAAAUGGACAUUGCUCAAAAAAAUAAAACUAUGCAAAGGUCAUAAAGGAAAGACAAAAGCAAUAUUUCACUUGCAUGUACAAAAUCCAGAGUCAUAGAAGGUUUGACUUUACAAGUUACCAUGUCUGAUUUGAAGAUAUUUGUGACUAACAGAUAGGGGAAGAAGAGCACAAAGGAGAGGUUAAAGGUAAACACAGAAGAUUGGGAGUGUCCCUAUGAAAAUAGAUAUGUCUCCAGGAGCACUAGUGUGGGUGUUCCUAAGCUCUCUGCAGGAGGGAAAAGGACAACCCAAUGUUAAGCCUAAAGUGCUUGGAACUGGCUCUCACUAAGUCAGGGAUGGGUGACAUCCUCCAUCUCCCUGUUCUUUCAGGAGCCUGGCAGUCAUGUCCACGAAUUGCCUCUGGCACUAUGUAAGCUCAUUAAUGGCCAUGAUCCAGAGACUCACAGAUAAAUUUCAAAAUCUCGGAAGAGAGGAACACACCACAAAGAUGCCUCUGGACCCCAAAGUCACCAUCCAUUUAAAAAUUUAACUCCACUUGUAUCACCCUAUUUAAAAUUUUAGAAUUCUUGAAGCAAUAGCUCAUGCCCUACCCCACUGGUGUACUAAGAGUAGCUCAGCACAUUUGAUGGGGUGUAAAGUAGAAGGCAAUCAAUCUUGGUAAAAAAAUUAAAUUAGUACACAAGUCUCAACCUGUAACAUGUUAGUAAUCUCUUAAUGUGAUGACGUGUUCGAGGGCUCUCAGGGCUCUCUCUCUCUCUCUCUCUCUCUCUCUAUCUAUCUAUCUAUCUAUCUCUCACCACUCAUGUUCGGUGCUCUCGAGCCUCUGUGUAUGGACUGAAUCGGGAUGGCUCCUCCUUUGGGCUCUGUUUCUGUGUGUGCCGCAGUGCUCUCUUCCAUCUGUCUCUUUAUCUCUGACUCUGUCUCUGUCACCUCUCCUUUGGUCUCUUCCGAUCUCUCUCUGGAGCCCUUCUGCUUCUCUCUCUUCUGACUCUGACCCUUCCAAUCUAACAAUAUUAGUUUAUAUAGCAAUCACAUAGGGUGGUGAUACAAAGGUGGGUUAAAUAUUAACAAAUCAACAAAGAGAGGUAAGACCACUUCUCCAGGUGAUUAACUCAAGGACCAAAUCUCAUCUAAGGAGAUUACUCCAGAUUACUAGGAGAUCCUCUUAAGGGCAGGAUCCCAUCCAGGGUGUGUUGCUUUCUUCUUUCCUCAGCUAGUAAUCCACUUAAUUAGUUGUAGUAAAUCUACUUCUAAUAUUUCUAGCAAUGUCAUUCUGUAUGAGCACAGUAAGAGAUAUAUCAAACUUAAAGCUUGGUUCUUCCAAGGACAUCUCAUUAUAUAUUCCAGACCACAGUCCUCAGGUCAGGCUAGUCUUCCUAACCCCAGCAGGGUCCUAGUCUCGUCAUUACUUUUGGAUCAUGACAGCAUUUGUCUAUGACCAUGCUCCCAAUUUAUAGUUGAGUAUUGUGGUGCUUUGGCCUGGCUCAUUUUGAUGCCAGGAUAGCUCACAGCUUGCCCUGGAUCCAUUCAGUUCCUCGUCGGGACCCUGCUUUUGGGGUGCUAGGAACUAAGGGCAACUGAGUCGAGAAAGCAGAUGCCCAGGAGUAAAUAUUAUUCAGAGUCAAUCAACUCCCAAGCUAAAAGAACAUAAUAUUAACUGUCUUCCUAUAUCCAUACAGAAAGGACUUUGCUUAAAAGGUAUAGUAGAAAUGACAUCUGCAUUUGUAUGUUCAUUGCAGCACUGUUUACAAUAGCUAAAAUCUGGAGAAAAUAAAAGAGUGCCCCCAAAUAGAUGACUGGUUGAAGAAAUUUUGGUACAUCUACACAGUUGGAAUGCCCUGCCUAAGAGGCAGAGUGGGGUGGUGGAGGAUGGGGUGGGGGUGGUGGGAGGGAUACUGGGAACAUUGGUGGAGGAGAAUGGGCACUGGUGGAGGGAUGGGUAAAUUAUCACUGUAUGACUGAAAUGCAAACACGAAAGUUUGUAACUGUACCUCAUAGUGAUUCACUAAUAAAUUUUUUUUAAAAAAGGACAUUUAAGGUAAACUUCCCUGCUCCAAGGCUGAAAAGACAAACCCGAUGUUAUCCUACACUGACCAGUGUUAUCCAAUAGAAGAGAUAAAAGUGGCUGAAGAGUUACCAUUGGUAAUCAAGAUUUCAGAAGAUAUUUGGAACAUUUUGCACCUGUGAACUUAGGCGAUUAAAAUUUAAGAAUAUAGAAUACAGCUCUAAAACUAUAAAAACAAAUAACAGGGGUUAGAGAGAUAGUACAGUGGGUAGGCUGCUUGCCUUGCAUGUGGCCCACCUGGGUUCAAUCCCCAACAGUCCCAUAUAGUCCCCUGAGCAUGGCCAGGAGCCUAAUCCCUAAGCAUAGAGCCAGGAGUAAACCCUGCACAUUUCUGCAUGUGACCCCAAAACAAACAAAAAUGGUUGAGGAGUUAGUUGAAGUAAAACUUAUUGAUUAUUAAAGAUUCUCUUUUGAAUUUGGCCAAACAUGCAGCUUCAACAGUUUAGAUUCUUGAAAAGGCACUCGCACUCUUCAGAACCCUCAUAUCUAAAAAGUAUGUUCUUAAAUAUGGUCUCAUUUAUUCUUUUUCUCUUAUAUGCCAAUCAAGUAUCAAAAACAAAGGAAAGAUUUCUCUAAUCCUGGCAGCCAAGACUGUUCUAGCUAUAAAGUGUGAUACUUUUGGUAAAGAUUUUAGUUCUGCCAUGGGAGCUGAAAACACAAAUGAGUGACCAGUUUUUAGGACCCUGACAAAUAUGUGGAUAAGGAAAAGGUAUUGGUGAACAUAGAAAAAAAUAUGGAUAUGAAAGUGAAGACUUACAAUCCUUUUAGUGAUUCUACGCUGCCAACCAGUUCGAAAUAGUUCAAGAUAAAACAUGUACCUAUAAAAGAAGGAGUUACUGAAAAAGAAAGUCCAAAAAGUCAAGAAAGAAGAAGGAUAAGACAGAGUAAUAGAGGUGAGAUAACAGGAAACAUCUGUGAAAAAAAAAGUAAAAGGAUAACAAGACACACAUAAAGGAAGAUGUGGUUUCUGAGAAAGAGUCAUGCAGUAUCACAACAAAUAUGAACCCAGAGAAAAAGAAGAAAUAGAAAACAUAAAAUGAGGAUUAAUGGAAGGGAAAUGUAAUGAAUCAACUGAAUACAUCAGGCUUAAGAUAAACCAGGAACGUGCUAGAAAUGCUCUAUAAUAAUCCAAGGGAAACUGGAUGAAACAAAGAAGUGAUAAUUCUUAUAUAUAUAUGCAGCUCUUGACAUAAACUUCUAACUUUAUGAUGUCAUCAUUUUUGGAAUUUUUCUUGUACAAAUAAAAAUACUUUUCUUUGUGUA